GCGAAUGUAGUUCAAUGGUAGAAUAUCAGCCUUCCAAGCUGAUUAUGCGGGUUCGAUUCCCGUCAUUCGCU
rnacentral:tRNA from 1 species